rnacentral:lncRNA from 1 species
GAGCUCCAAGAUGGCUACUACCAUGAUCUUGUCUUGGAUGGUAAUGAUGAGUCUUCAUAUUCAGGUGGAUACAGCAUCAAUACCUCCAACAACAGUCAUAGCCGAUGGUGAGUCUGCCUGCCAGAGCGCUGUGGCCCCAUGCGUUGGGAAGCACAUGCCCACUGCUUCCCCAGCCUCGUCGCCCACCAGCGGGGAGCCCGGGAAGGGGCUGCCGGCCCUACGUGGUGCUGCGGGCGGCUCCUGCUGGGGUUCAGGGCCGGGUGUUCUUGGGGUGCAGGCGGGAGGGAGCCUGCGCUCUCCGGUCCCCCUGCUGGGAAUCUGAGAGCUGGAGUUGGAGAGCGCAGGCCCACUUGGCCAGCGGUGGGGUCCUGCCCCCUUGGCUGUCCCGGGGCAUGUGGAAGCCGGGGCUCGUGGAAAAGGACCUGUGGGCCCCUCUGGACCACAGGCACCAUCCGCUUUCUCGUGCACGAGGAGGCAAAGGUCCCUGCCUGGAACCAGAGCCCCACGCACCUAAUGCAGCUUCUCAUGUCUUUCCAAGAGCUGGAGCUGCGGCUGACCGACGGGCCAAACCGCUGUGCAGGCAACGUGGAAAUCGACUAUUUUGGAAUGAACGUGAAAGUGUGUGGUUUCCUGUGGGACAUGGACGAUGCUCAGGUUGUGUGCAGGCAGCUUGACUGCGGCUUGCCUGUCAGCGUGAUGAACUAUUUCCCCUCGAGCGAUUCGUAUCCGUGGUACCACUGGACUGCGGUGGAUUGUAAGGGCUCUGAAACCUCUUUGCUGUUUUGCCCUUAUGAGCACUCACCCUCCGACUGCCAUCACGGGGCUGCUUCUGUCGUCUGCUCAGUCUCGUGACUAACAAGGCCUCUAAUGAAAGUGCCAGAUAGCCCCAGCUCGACUCCCACUUUGCCUCAACUUCAG